rnacentral:lncRNA from 1 species
GGUUACGGUGGGGUAAAUACAAACAAAAGGAAAAACAAAUGGUUUUGGGUUCAGAGUCAAUAUCAUUAUUAUUUUCACUGUCUUUGUUCUAACAUAUCAUUUCCCUUUCUUUUCUUUUUUCAGUUCUAUUACUCAAUUCUUCUUUUUUUUAAUUCCUAACUGAGUGUUUCUCAUUCGGUGAGUGAUUUUUUCCAUUCCAUCAAAUUU